rnacentral:rRNA from 1 species
GAUGAACGCUGGCGGCGUGCCUAAUACAUGCAAGUCGAGCGAUGAACCCGGAGCUUGCUCCGGUGGAUUAGUGGCGAACGGGUGAGUAACACGUGAGUCACCUGCCCUUGACUCUGGGAUAACUGCGGGAAACUGUAGCUAAUACCGGAUACGACCCUCGGCGGCAUCGCCAGGGGGUGGAAAGAAUUUCGGUCAAGGAUGGACUCGCGGCCUAUCAGCUAGUUGGUGAGGUAACGGCUCACCAAGGCGACGACGGGUAGCCGGCCUGAGAGGGCGACCGGCCACACUGGGACUGAGACACGGCCCAGACUCCUACGGGAGGCAGCAGUGGGGAAUAUUGCACAAUGGGCGCAAGCCUGAUGCAGCGACGCCGCGUGAGGGAUGAAGGUCUUCGGAUUGUAAACCUCUUUCAGUAGGGACGAAGCGAAAGUGACGGUACCUAAAGAAGAAGCACCGGCUAACUACGUGCCAGCAGCCGCGGUAA